GGUGUGGGUUCCGCCUCUCGGAGA
rnacentral:siRNA from 1 species